CGUAGGUGACCUGCGGAAGGAUCAUUACCGAGUGAGGGCCCUCUGGGUCCAACCUCCCACCCGUGUCUAUCGUACCUUGUUGCUUCGGCGGGCCCGCCGUUUCGACGGCCGCCGGGGAGGCCUUGCGCCCCCGGGCCCGCGCCCGCCGAAGACCCCAACAUGAACGCUGUUCUGAAAGUAUGCAGUCUGAGUUGAUUAUCGUAAUCAGUUAAAACUUUCAACAACGGAUCUCUUGGUUCCGGCAUCGAUGAAGAACGCAGCGAAAUGCGAUAAGUAAUGUGAAUUGCAGAAUUCAGUGAAUCAUCGAGUCUUUGAACGCACAUUGCGCCCCCUGGUAUUCCGGGGGGCAUGCCUGUCCGAGCGUCAUUGCUGCCCUCAAGCACGGCUUGUGUGUUGGGCCCCCGUCCCCCUCUCCCGGGGGACGGGCCCGAAAGGCAGCGGCGGCACCGCGUCCGGUCCUCGAGCGUAUGGGGCUUUGUCACCUGCUCUGUAGGCCCGGCCGGCGCCAGCCGACACCCAACUUUAUUUUUCUAAGGUUGACCUCGGAUCAGGUAGGGAUACCCGCUGAACUUAAGCAUAUCAAU
rnacentral:rRNA from 1 species